rnacentral:rRNA from 1 species
UGGCGAACGGGUGAGUAACACGUGGGUGAUCUGCCCUGCACUUCGGGAUAAGCCUGGGAAACUGGGUCUAAUACCGGAUAGGAGCCAUUUUAGUGUGAUGGUUGGAAAGUUUUUCGGUGUAGGAUGAGCUCGCGGCCUAUCAGCUUGUUGGUGGGGUAAUGGCCUACCAAGGCGGCGACGGGUAGCCGGCCUGAGAGGGUGGACGGCCACAUUGGGACUGAGACACGGUCCAG